AUACGGAGGGUGCGAGCGUUAAUCGGAAUUACUGGGCGUAAAGCGUACGUAGGCGGUUGGUUAAGUUAGAUGUGAAAGCCCCGGGCUUAACCUGGGAACUGCAUUUAAAACUGGCGAACUCGAGUUGAGUAGAGGGGAGUGGAAUUUCAGGUGUAGCGGUGAAAUGCGUAGAGAUCUGAAGGAACACCAGUGGCGAAGGCGACUCCCUGGACUCGAACUGACGCUGAGGUACGAAAGCGUGGGUAGCAAACGGGAUUAGAUACCCUUGUAGUCC
rnacentral:rRNA from 1 species